GACGAACGCUGGCGGCGUGCUUAACACAUGCAAGUCGAACGGAAAGGCCUCAGCUUGCUGGGGUACUCGAGUGGCGAACGGGUGAGUAACACGUGGGUGAUCUGCCUUGCACUCUGGGAUAAGCUUGGGAAACUGGGUCUAAUACCGGAUAUGAACUGCCUUUAGUGUGGUGGUUGGAAAGUUUUUUCGGUGCAAGAUGAGCUCGCGGCCUAUCAGCUUGUUGGUGGGGUAAUGGCCUACCAAGGCGUCGACGGGUAGCCGGCCUGAGAGGGUGUACGGCCACAUUGGGACUGAGAUACGGCCCAGACUCCUACGGGAGGCAGCAGUGGGGAAUAUUGCACCAUGGGCGGAAGCCUGAUGCAGCGACGCCGCGUGGGGGAUGACGGCCUUCGGGUUGUAAACUCCUUUCGACAGGGACGAAGCUUUUUGUGACGGUACCUGUAUAAGAAGCACCGGCUAACUACGUG
rnacentral:rRNA from 1 species